rnacentral:rRNA from 1 species
UGGGGAAUAUUGCACAAUGGAGGGAACUCUGAUGCAGCGACGCCGCGUGAACGAAGAAGGCUUUCGAGUCGUAAAGUUCUUUUAUAUGGGAAGAUAAUGACGGUACCAUAAGAAAAAGCCCCGGCUAACUACGUGCCAGCAGCCGCGGUAAUACGUAGGGGGCUAGCGUUGUCCGGAAUCACUGGGCGUAAAGGGUUCGCAGGCGGAAAUGCAAGUCAGGUGUAAAAGGCAGUAGCUUAACUACUGUAAGCAUUUGAAACUGAAUAUCUUGAGAAGAGUAGAGGUAAGUGGAAUUUUUAGUGUAGCGGUGAAAUGCGUAGAUAUUAAAAAGAAUACCGGUGGCGAAGGCGACUUACUGGGCUCAUUCUGACGCUGAGGAACGAAAGCGUGGGUAGCUAACAGG